rnacentral:rRNA from 1 species
ACUCCUACGGGAGGCAGCAGUGGGGAAUUUUGGACAAUGGGCGAAAGCCUGAUCCAGCAAUGCCGCGUGAGUGAAGAAGGCCUUCGGGUUGUAAAGCUCUUUUGUCAGGGAAGAAACGGUGAGAGCUAAUAUCUCUUGCUAAUGACGGUACCUGAAGAAUAAGCACCGGCUAACUACGUGCCAGCAGCCGCGGUAAUACGUAGGGUGCAAGCGUUAAUCGGAAUUACUGGGCGUAAAGCGUGCGCAGGCGGUUUUGUAAGUCUGAUGUGAAAUCCCCGGGCUCAACCUGGGAAUUGCAUUGGAGACUGCAAGGCUAGAAUCUGGCAGAGGGGGGUAGAAUUCCACGUGUAGCAGUGAAAUGCGUAGAUAUGUGGAGGAACACCGAUGGCGAAGGCAGCCCCCUGGGUCAAGAUUGACGCUCAUGCACGAAAGCGUGGGGAGCAAACAGGAUUAGAUACCCUUGUAGUCCCAU